UAGAGUUAUGUUUUAGCUAUGGUCAUUUGUCUUUGUACUGCAGUUUGACUCCCACCUCAAGUGGAGCCUUGUAUCUCAUUUCGUUGUGUUUUUAGUGCAACUCUGUGCCUUUAUUCCCAUCAUAUUGUUCGUGCUACAGCGGUUCUUGUGAAGUUCAAUAGCAUUACUGAAUGAGGCAGUUUAAACAUCCUGGCUAAUAUAUUUGGCCAAUUAUUAACGUUGUCAAAUAACCCCUGAACCUCAAGUACCGAUCACUUAUUUUGUUUUGUGAGUUGAGUGUCCUAUUACUCUCUGUGGUAGGCAUAGAUCUCAUAACUGAUUACAUACCUUGUUUCAAAAGGCAAGAGCUAUGUCCAGAGAAGAGGAUGCUAUUCUAUCCCAAGCUCCCCAAAAUCAUCGGCUCCGAUUAUCUCGAGGUUCGCAUACGGUCUAUACAUGGAAUCCAGGGGAGUGCAUCUGCAUGUCAUGUGUUUGGUCAUACCCAUUUCUGCUGGGAUGCUGUGGUUGAUGGUAUCAGGUAUGUGCAGGCACCAUUGGCAUACCCAAGAGAGCGGAAGAGAAGAAUGAAUGGGGGUGAAAAUUGGCUACCAUUUUGCAUCUACAUUGAUGGGAAAUUUGCUGAUACACUCUCUCCCUGUUAUUGGUCCGAUUAUUACUCUGCCAACCAAAGAACACCUCACAACACCAAACUUGCUCCUUGGGUUGCCAGAUUCUAUAACCAAACAUAACACAUAACACGAUACCAAUCGUGUAUACCCGUUUGUUUUCAUUUAUUUUAAAAGUAAUGCUAUUUAGUAGAUAAUUUUACAACUCUCAUACAAUUGAGAUGACGGGGCAAUAAGAAUUAAUCUUUAGAUUAACAAGAAAUAGUUUUUUAAAAAAUAAUUAAUUAUUAAAUUUUAUUGCUACGUCAUUUCAGUCGUAUAAUAAUUUGCUUAUAAUAAUCUACUAAAUAACAUUGCUAAAUAGUAUUAAAAUGAUGUCAUUUCCUUCCCCUCCCUGAAACAAUUAUUACUUGCACCCUUCAUUCAAUGUUACGCAUUUUUUGUUUUCCACUCUUGGAGAAACAAUGGUAGAUUGGCUCAUCUCUGAGCAAUUCAUUCUUUUGUAGAAUUUAUACUCUACUCAGUUCAUUGUAUCAUAGUGAUAAAAUUUAUACCCAGUUGGCCUUAAAUCUUUUGUAGAA